rnacentral:lncRNA from 1 species
UCCUCUACCAAUGAACUGUGACAACACAUGUUGUCAAAAAUGCCAUCUGCCAGGGAGGCUCAAGAGACACUCAGUGCCCAGGGCUUUUCCUGGGAGCUAGCCAAGUAGGCAUCCUCUGUUUUGUAUGUACCAAAAUUCUGGACUUCCAGAAGGAGAGCAGGUUAUUGUUGGGCUGGAAGAUUGUAGUGCUGGAGGAGCACUAUGUAACAACCUUCAUAAAUCAGCACUUAACAAUGAACAACCCACAUCCUACUUCCAGUGAGUUAACUACCAAUGCAUCAAAUUGCAUCAAACCAAUGAGGACUAGAAGGAACUGAUAAACUCUAGAGCAGAAGAACAAGAUGGGAUGGCUGUUUUGGUUUGAAAUGAGCAAGGACAUGAAGUUCAGAGUCUGCGUAUUACCAUGCCCAUGCACAUUCCCCAUGAGGUCAAGAGGCUGGGAUGACCUCUCUGGGGUCCUAACCUUAUUCAGACACACUCUACCACCGCCUGCCUGGGUAGCUUCAGCCAAAGCAGAUUCAUCCUUCUGGGCCAUGAACCUCCCGGUGGGAGGUGUUAAAUAGGGUCAAUGGCCUUCUGCCCUGCUGGCUCAGGAAGCCUUUCAGAGGGCUCUGAUAGAGUGUUGGAGCAGAAAGAUGCUAGAACAUGAACUUCAAUGAGAACUGAGGAUAUUUUCCCCCUUCCAGUUCAUUCUUUCUCUCUAAAGCCAUGCCUUGUCAGUGCCUUUUCCUCAUGUUACUGAGGUCAUAAACUUACUAAGCCUACUGGUGCUACGCGCUGUCCCAGCUGCUGAGGGUUCAAGGACUCAGAGUGGAUAAGGAGUGAGUCCUGCCCAUAAGAGGCUUGCAGUCUGGUAGGAGGUGACCAUAAACCGGCUACGCAGGGUGAUGGUUACUCUCGGAGGGGAAAAUGGCAAUACAGAGCAGGAAACCUAGCUUAGCUCAGUGGCUGCAGGGCCGGCUUCCAGGUGGAAGUAACUGGCAAUCUGGGAAGGAGUAGGAAGAGACACAAGGGAGAUGUUUGGAGCGGAAGAAACAAUUUCAUCAAAGGCUGAGUGGCCUCUUCCAGUUUUAAUACUCUGCAUUCUUCAUGGCUGAAGCAGAGAGUUCAAGGUGAAAAGUGACAAGAGGUAAGCCUGGAGAGGUAAACAAGGGCAGAUGGAGAUGGCUUUGAUGACCUUGGACUUCAUCCUGAGGACAGCAGACAGAAGCAACCUCUU